UACAGAGGUCCCGAGCGUUGUUCGGAUUCAUUGGGCGUAAAGGGUGCGUAGGCGGCGGGGUAAGUUUGAUGUGAAAUCCUGGGGCUCAACCCUGGAACUGCAUUGAAUACUGCCUUGCUAGAGAACUGGAGAGGAGACUGGAAUUUACGGUGUAGCAGUGAAAUGCGUAGAGAUCGUAAGGAAGACCAGUGGCGAAGGCG
rnacentral:rRNA from 1 species